GACGAACGCUGGCGGUGUGCUUAACACAUGCAAGUCGAACGGUAAGGCCCUUUCGGGGGUACACGAGUGGCGAACGGGUGGGUAACACGUGAGUAACCUGCCCUCAUCUCUGGGAUAACAGUCGGAAACGGUUGCUAAUACUGGAUAUGAGCUUGCAAGGCAUCUUGUGGGUUGGAAAGAUUUUUUUGGUUGGGGAUGGACUCGCGGCCUAUCAGCUUGUUGGUGAGGUAGUGGCUCACCAAGGCUUCGACGGGUAGCCGGCCUGAGAGGGCGACCGGCCACAUUGGGACUGAGAUACGGCCCAAACUCCUACGGGAGGCAGCAGUGGGGAAUAUUGCACAAUGGACGGAAGUCUGAUGCAGCAACGCCGCGUGCGGGAUGACGGCCUUCGGGUUGUAAACCGCUUUCAAUUGUGACGAAGCUUUUUGUGACGGUAGCAGUGGAAGAAGCACCGGCUAACUACGUG
rnacentral:rRNA from 1 species